AUUGAACGCUGGCGGCAGGCUUAACACAUGCAAGUCGAGCGGAGAGAGGUAGCUUGCUACCGAUCUUAGCGGCGGACGGGUGAGUAAUGCUUAGGAAUCUGCCUAUUAGUGGGGGACAACAUUUCGAAAGGAAUGCUAAUACCGCAUACGUCCUACGGGAGAAAGCAGGGGAUCUUCGGACCUUGCGCUAAUAGAUGAGCCUAAGUCGGAUUAGCUAGUUGGUGGGGUAAAGGCCUACCAAGGCGACGAUCUGUACCGGGUCUGAGAGGAUGAUCCGCCACACUGGGACUGAGACACGGCCCAGACUCCUACGGGAGGCAGCAGUGGGGAAUAUUGGACAAUGGGCGGAAGCCUGAUCCAGCCAUGCCGCGUGUGUGAAGAAGGCCUUAUGGUUGUAAAGCACUUUAAGCGAGGAGGAGGCUACUUUAGUUAAUACCUAGAGAUAGUGGACGUUACUCGCAGAAUAAGCACCGGCUAACUCUGUGCCAGCCGCCGCCGUAAAAC
rnacentral:rRNA from 1 species